UCACUCUGCGCACGCGCACACCCAGCGCCGCCCCGCCCUCCCCCGCCUCCCCGGGCGCGAGAGGGCCAGCGUCCGGACGUCUGUAGGUGUAGGCGGGAGCGGAGGCUGCCGCUCGGGAGAAAAACGAAAUGGGAGGAGAGGGGUUUUCUGUGCUGGACGCUUUCGGAAGCCCAAAGACAGCAGGCCUGUAAUGAACGGGGUUUGUCGAGUCACCCAGGGCAGACCCAGGAACUAAGCGCACAGCUGUUGACUUACACGGCUGAACCUUCACAGUUCUUUACCUUCUUCCAGGAGUAGCAGAAAAUGAACAUAGCUCAGGGAUUGGUGUCGUUCGAAGACGUGACUGUGGAGUUCACCCAGGAGGAGUGGCGGCAGAUGGACUCCACACAGAGGGCCCUGUACAAAGAUGUGAUGCUGGAGAACUACGGCCACCUGGUCUCCAUGGGAUACUGCAGUACUAAACCCCGGGUGAUUUUCAAGUUGGAGCAAGGAGAAGAGCCCUGGUCCUUAGAGGAAGAAUUCCUAAACCAGAGGUACCCAGGCUAUUACAAAGUUGAUGUGCACCUUGAGGGGAACCGGGAAAAAGAAGAGAAACCUCUGUGGCAAGUAAUAUUCAUGGAUAACAAAAGAUUGAGUAAGGAAGUACAGAAAGUUUUAGAAAAACCAUUUAAUCUGGAUUCAACUCCAGAUUUUUCAGGAUCAAUGCCCUGUAAAUGUGACUCACAUAGAGUGAAUUUGCCAGUUGUUUCUGAAUUAAUUAUUAAUGAUAGAAAGUAUUCAAGAAAGAAGGCUGAUUACACGAAUGUAUGUGAAAAGUUGCAGCUUGAGAUUAAGCGUCAGAAAACUCCUACUGGAGAGAAGUCUUAUGAAUGUAAUAAAAAUGUGAACGGUCUCAGUUACAAGAAAGAUCAUCAGAAAUUUCAAACUCUGGCACAAUCUUUUGAGUAUAAUGAGUUUGGGAAAGUCUUACAUGAUAAAACCGUCUGCGUUACAGCGACAAGUUCUCUAACAGGAGAAGAUUCCUGUAAGGACUUUGAAUUUAAGAAAAACUGUGAUAAAGCAACUGUAUUUAACCACGUGAGAAAUGGCACAAGGGAAGAAUGCUUUGAUCUUGAUGAAGUUGGGAAAUCCUGUGAUGAUAGGAAUACUUUAUUGGAGUACAAAAAAAUUCACGUGGCUAUGACACACUGUGAAUGUCAUGAAAGUGGGAGUAACUUCAUCAGGAAUUCACCCCUUGUUCAACCUCAGAGAACUAUUACAGGACAGGGUGCCUUGGAAAGCAGUAAAUGUGAAGAAAACUUGAGCCAGAGCUCAGCCCAUCAGAAGACACAAACUGGAGAUAAAUUCUGUGUUUUUAAUGAACAUACAAAUGCCUUCUACAAGAAAUUAGACCUUCCGACACAUCAGAGAACUCACACAGAAGAGAAAUUCUACCAGUGUGGUAAAUAUGGGAAAUCCUUCCAUCAAAACUCAGCCCUGGAUCUACUUCAGCAAAGUGGUACAGGACAGAAAUCAUUUGAAUGUAAUGGAUGCAGGAAAUUCUUUUACCAGAAAGCACACCUCAUUCAGCAUCAGAGGAUCUGCUCGGGGGAGAAAGCUUAUGAAUGUGAGGAAUGUGGAAGAUCCUUUUCUCCAAAUUCACACUCUGUUCAUUGUCCUGGAACCCAUAUGGGGGUCAGUCUCUGUGAAUGUAAAGAAUGUGGGAAAACUUUCUUCAAGACAUCCCAUCUCAGAGCACAUCAGAGAAUUCACCCAGGCGAAAAACCCUAUGACUGUAUUGAAUGUGGGAAAACUUUCUCUCAUAAGACUCAUCUCAGCGCACAUCACAGAAUUCAUACCGGGGAGAAACCUUAUGAAUGUCACGAGUGUGGGAAAGCUUUUGCCAAUACUUCAACCCUCAGAGCACAUCAGAGAACUCACACAGGGGAAAAACCCUAUGAGUGUAAUGAAUGUGGGAGGUCUUUUGCUGACAAUUCAACCCUCAGAGCACAUCGGAGAAUUCACACAGGUGAGAAACCCUAUGAAUGUAACGACUGUGAGAAAACUUUUGCCCAUAAUUCAGCCCUCAGAGUACAUCAGAGAAUUCACACUGGUGAGAAACCCUAUGAGUGUAAUGAAUGUGGAAAAGCUUUUUCCCAGAAGACACACCUCAGUACACAUCAGAGAAUUCACACAGGCAGGAAACGCUAUGAAUGUACUGAUUGUGGGAAAACCUUCUCCCAGAAAUCAUACCUCAGUGGUCAUGAGAGAAUUCACAAAGGGGAAAAACCUUAUAAAUGUAAUGAAUGUGGGAAAACUUUUGUCUAUAAGGCAGCUCUCAUAGUCCAUCAAAGAAUUCACACAGGAGAGAGACCCUAUGAAUGUAAUGAAUGUAGGAAAACUUUCUCCCAAAAGGCACACCUCAGUGCACAUCAAAGAACUCACACAGGGGAGAAACCUUAUGAAUGUAGUGAAUGUGGGAAAACUUUCUCCCAAGGAACACAUCUCACUGCACAUCAGAGAACUCACACGGGAGAAACUGUACGAACGUAACGAGCGUGGGAAAACUUUCUUCAGAAGUCGUGUUAACUGUACAUCACAAGAUUCACACGAGCGAGAAACCCUAUGAAUGUGGGAAAGCUUUUACCGAAAAUUCAGUCCUCAAUACCAAAGAAUACACAGGGGAAGAACUCUAUGAAUGUAAUUACUUUGGGGAAACUUUUGCCAAUAAUUCAGCCCUUGGAGCACAUCAGAGAAUUCAGAUGGGAGACACUCUGUGAAUGUAAUGAAUGGGAAAACUUUCUCCCAGAAGUUGCACCUUAGUGCACAUCAAAGAAUUCACAGGGGAGAAACCCUAUGAAUGUAAUGAAUGUGGGAAAGCUUUUGCCCAAAAUUCAGCCCUCAGAGUACACCAAAGAAUUCACACGGGGGAAAAACCCUAUGAAUGUGAUGCCUGUGGGAAAACUUUUGUCCGUAAGGCAGCUCUUAGAGUACAUCAUACAAGAACACACACCAGAGGGAAAGCCCUUAUGUGUAAUGAAUUUGAGAAGUCCUAAAGGAACUCAUACAUUAUUAGAUAGGUAACACAACGAAGAAGCUCAUGUCACAUAGACUGGCAUAUUUCCCUUAACUAUUUCCUUUUCCUCUGGGCCCAUAGCUUGUUUAAAUUUCCCACUCCUUCAUCCAGGUGGGGCUGGUCAUGGAAUUUGAUGCUACUACAUUUAAGCUAAGUCUGGACUUGAAAGUCACCUACAUUCUUCCUGUCCUGUGUUAUACCAGAAUGGAGAGCCUUCCACACAGACUUGGGUGCUGUAUUUUGAACAUGGUAGAGCACAAGGUGAAAGAAUUUAGAGUCUGAAUAACUGGGUGAAACAGAAUUCUCCACUAACAGAUCUUCACCAGUUGGCUUUUUUUUUAAAUUUUUUUUUUAGGCAAGAUAUCAACUUGUGCUCUGUUGAGUUCUUACAGGUUUUGGUCUGUUGAUUGAAUGCAAUAGCUUAGCCAACACUGUUAGAGUGGGAUGAAAGCCUGUGAAUAUAAUAAAUGUGAGAGGACCGAUAAGAAUUCAGCCUGUCUAUGUACAUGAGAGACUUCACAUGAGGAAGAAAACUUCUGUCAAUAUCUCGAAUAGUCAGCCUUCAUCAAAAAUCAAGAGAAAUCUCAGGGAAAACACAAGCCUUUGCUGCAAAGUGAACUUCUUUAAACAUGAAAUAAUUGAGAUGAAAAUUUUGUAUUUUUGAUAAAUGACAUUUUUUAACAAAUUCGUGUCUUGCCCAACAAUGGUAUACGUUCUAAGGAAUGCGUUGUUAGGUGAUUUUGUCAUCAUGUGAAUGUUAUGGAGUGUACACAGACUCUAGGUCGUAUAGCCUACUACACCUCUGGGCUAUGUGGUACUAAUCUUACGAGACCACCAUCGUGUAUGUGAUCUGUCACUGACUGAAACCUUGUUAUGUGGCAGGUGUCAGUACUGAGUUUGCUUCAGAGAAUUGUUUUCUGAGGAAAUGUAUCAGUUUCAGAAUUGAAGGUCAAAUCUUCACCUAGAACUGAUGUACCAAAACUUGUGUUUUACAUACAAUACCAAGGUUUGUAGAAUAUAAAAAAGAAAAUAUUUACCUAUACACAAACUCAGUGUGGAAUGGGAAGUUUUAAAGAUGGAGGAGUAACGAAUUCUGUGGACAAUACCAAUAAAUCUGACUAGCGUCUGUGCUAUAUAGUA